UGGCCUAUACAGGUGGCUCAAAAAUCAUUAGAGAAAGCUACUAAUGAACGUAAUUUUCAAAGUGCACCUUCAGGGAGCUGCAGCACUGGAGCAGCAGCCACCUGUGGUGCAAGGGCCAGGGAUGCAAACAUCAAAGCACGUGGUGCAUCUGCAUCAGGCUCUCAGGACACUGAAGAACACCAAUUCACAGCCUUGUCAGGCCUGACACAGCCUUGUCAGGAUGUAGCUAUGCUGACUGGGAUGUCAAUACUUUCUGAAUUGGAUAGGCUUAUGUAGCUCACUGAGACAACGAAGAGAUGCUGACUGCCUGGUUGCCAAAUUCAGCUUUCCUUCCGUCAUAGAUCUUUUGGAAUUGAAGUUGAGACUGCAAAACUCUAAUUCCUCCAGCCGCAAAAGAAGAAAAGAGUUUAUUUUCUCUAGAAAUCAGAUCCUCUACGAAAUGAACUUCCCAGGAAUUUUUGGCAGUAAGUGUGAACUCAUCGCCACAGCUUGGAAUGGAGAGCUGAAAGUGGCCCAAAAAAAGGAAGAAGCAGGCUCAGUGAAUGGAGUGACUUUCGUGUGAGAAAAAGCAAAAUAUACUGGGUAUUUUCAUCUUGGGGAAGAGAUGAAGCC